UGCCUAUUCUGCUGCCAGUACUGGCCUAUCUCUACCCUUGAACUCUCACACUUCUAAGUUCAAGUUUCUAAUCAAAUAAAGAUAACAACACCAAGCCAAGAUGUCCGACAAAAAGAUGACAUCGAGUCGCAAGAAUCAUCUGAAGAGCGUAAUGCUUCAGAUUGCUUCAACACGACUUGAAGAAGAGGUAGCUGAGAUUGCAAAGGCAAAGGAGGCCUACCUGGAGGAGCACUGCCCUUCCCUUAGUCUACCUGGCAGUGUUGAGGAACUUCAGAAACUGAUCAAAGACAUCCACGGCAAGAUUGACAAAGUGGAUGAGGAGAGAUACGACGCAGAUGCCAAAGUGACAAAGGGACAAAAGGAGAUAGACGACCUCAAGAUCAAGGUAACAGAGAUAAAGGGCAUGAAGAAGCCAGCUCUGAAGAAAGUACGUUUGUCUGCCGAUCAGAUGCUUCAGGCUCUGCUGGGCUCAAAGCACAAGGUUACCAUGGACUUGAGGUCCAACCUGAAGCAGGUGAAGAAGGAGGUCAAGCAGGAGAGUGCAGAGGUUGGUGACUGGCGCCAGAACGUUGAGGACAAGAAGGACAGAAAGAAGAUGUUUGAGGGCGCUGAGGCAUAAAUUUAAGAGACAUCUGCCAGAAGAAAAGCAUUGUACACAUGGACAAAAUGGAUGGACUGAGGACAUUUGUUCUUUUCGCUUAAUGUCUUUUUAUGUUCCCUAUACCUUGACAGAAACAAAUGCCUUUCAUUCUCAAAAUCCACUGAAUUUAGAUAGAGCUAACAUGUCACUGUUGUAGACCAUAUUAAACAAUGGACUUUAAAAUUCCUACUGUUUUGGCUUUUUGUGCAUAAUGUUUUAGCAGAUAGAUUUGACUCUCUUGUAGUUAGUAUUCAACUACAGUAUGCGGCAGAUUUAUUUCACAAGAUAUUGAGUUUGCCCACCCCCCGUCUAACCCACCCACCUAGGCACACACAAACACACAAACACACACCAUACACUCAUCUUUUUUGCCACUCUGUCUUUCUCUCUCUGACAUGCUCUCCAUCAGUCUUACUUGGGGACAAGUUUAAGCACAUUUCAUUGGGAUCUAACAUAUACACAUUUGUAGUGCAGUGGAAGCCUACUCAAAAGUUAACACUUCGGCACAAGUUGGUGCAUUGGUGAGUUAUAUGUUGCGUAAAUCUUUUAAAGAAUGUAACUUCAGUGUCAUUAUUGUAUAAAGACAUCACAUAUCUGAUUUUAUGAAGUGUGACACAUCAAUUGAAUCUCCAAAGGCACGUUACAUGUGUGUCUCCUAAGUUGUCUCCUAACAGGGUUAAAGAGGAGGGAUAUGCAGUAGACAGCUGAAGACAUGAGGAUGGUGGCAGGGAGUGACCGAAUGGAAUACAGCAACUUGAGGAGAUGCUCCUCCCCUCUGUUUCAAGGUCCACUUCAGCAUACACACACUCAUAGUCUCUAGUACUUUCCAUGUACAACAUCUUUCCAUAUUUCCUGAAUAAUCCCUUAGAUUUUGUGACACAACAACUUCCUAAAGAUGCAGCGAGUAUCUUAUUGCCACACUGGCAUCCCAGCUGCCCCUACUUGCACCAGGAGCUUGUGUUGAUAGAGAAUAUGGUCCAGUUGUCUGUAACAUGAUACACAAUAAUAUCUUGAAUAUCUUUAAGAUAGAGGUAAGAUGUAAGCGUGUUAGUCAGACAUCUAGAAUAAUGACACAUUUUUCUGUGUUUCAUUUUCUAUGUCUAUUUUAAGCAAAGCUAAAUUGAGCUGGAUUUGCAGGAGUGGCAUGACCAUAAACAGGGAAGGAUAUUUUGUAGCAUCAGAUGCUACCAGGCAUAAAAACGAGACCUGCCUAUUCUGCUAAUGCCAGUGCUUGCCAAUCUCUAUCCUUGAACUCUCACACCUCUAAGUUCAACUUCUAAUCAGAUAAAGAUAACAACACCAAGCCAAGAUGUCCGA